rnacentral:rRNA from 1 species
AUGGCGGACUGGGCACCGGUGGUGGUGGGGGUGGUGCUCUUCAUCCUGCUCUCGCCGGGGCUGCUGUUGGAGAUGCCGGGGUCGCACCGCCACGUCGACUUCGGCGGCCUCCACACCAACGGCAAGGCCAUCUUCGUCCACACCAUCCUCUUCUUCGCCGCCUUCACCAUCCUCACCCUCGCCCUCCACAUCCACAUCUACGCCGGCUAG